UACAGAGGUCCCAAGCGUUACUGAGAAUCACUGGGUUUAAAGGGUGCGUAGGUGGUCCGUUAAGUCAGUUGUGAAAUCCCCGGGCUCAACCCGGGAAAUGCUUCUGAUACUGGCGGACUUGAGGCCAGUAGGGGUCACUAGAACUGACGGUGGAGCGGUGAAAUGCGUAGAUAUCGUCAGGAAUGCCGGUGGUGAAGACGGGUGACUGGGCUGGUUCUGACACUGGAGGCACGAAAGCGUGGGGAGC
rnacentral:rRNA from 1 species